CACACGUGGUGCAGAGCACGCAACCCACAGCGGAAGAACCCUGAGCAGCAAACUGCAGCCCAGCGGGUGGGGAGCCGGUGAGUGGAACUGAAGCCCCACACAGCCCCGGAGCCAGCUCCCGGCACCGAUCCCUCACUGGGGCAGGAUGGAGGAUUUGGAUGCGCUGCUGGAGGAGCUGGAGCAAAGCUCCCGCGGGGCCCACGGGCUGCAGGCACCGGCACACCUGGAGGUAAUGCCUCAAGCUGGGGCUGGUGGCUGAGGCCCCCUCAGCUCGUGACACAGGUGGUGCUGCCAGGAGCAUCCUCCAAGCUCCAAGGGUUUGUCCUUCCAGGUGCAGGUGCCUCGGGCUCAGCCUCCUGCAGAGGCUGUGGACACAGUGUACAGCCCUGUCCCAGUCCCGCAGCCGCUGUUCCCAUCUUCCCCACCGACGGAAGCAGCUCAGCAGCUGGACAAGCUCCUGGCUGACCUGGGCCACAUGCAGAGCAAGGUGAGCCCCAACCCUGGGGUAAAGGGGUUGGUUACUGACCUUUAAA
rnacentral:lncRNA from 14 species